GUUUUUGGAAAGAAUUUCAAGCACAAAGCUAUCAAGGUCCCAAUGAAGUCCCACAGCCUCAAUUGGACCAUUAGGGGAGUUAGAGUCGGCUAAAGGCUCAACAAAAUACCGAUCAAGAGGCAACUGGUAACUAGGUUGAGGUGUCUUCGUAUAUUCGACCCUUGGUAGGUGUCUCAGCAUUCAAUAGUUGUACAUUCGUCUGAGUUUCUCCGCUGGAAGUCGAGUACUCUUUUGUUAUGUAUAA